AUUCUUCUCAGCAGUGCUGCUGCCAAGCCAGUUCUUCAGUCAUUGGGGUGGCUUUCAACUUCCUGGUUACAGACAACAAAACAGAGCGACUCUGAUCAAGGGUAGCGUUAACAUCACCCUUUGAAGGAAAAAAAUAGAGAUUGUGAUUUCUAACAAGGAAGCUUUGGAAAAACACUGAUGAUCCCCAAUCUUUUUUGGUGAUUCAGGGAGAUAUACUGCACGCUAGCAGAAUCACUAUCACUGCUAUUAUCCUGACCUGCAUACUCUGAAAUCAACUGUAUAUGACUCCUUUAACCAUUUAAUAACCCUCUUAUUUUCUAUUAAUAAAUCUUUAGUUC